rnacentral:rRNA from 1 species
AUGAUUUUGAGUAUAAAUUUCUUGGUAAAAAAACCUUUGCCCAAUUUUGAAUUGUCAAGACAAGAGCUUUAUGUAAGAGUAGAAGCCCCAAAAGGUGAAUUAGGGAUUUAUCUAGUAGGAGAUGAUAGCCUUUUCCCCUGGAGAUGGAAUAUCCAUUCACCCGGGUUUAUUAAUUUGCAAAUUCUUCCUCGGCUAGUUAAAAAAUGA